rnacentral:rRNA from 1 species
UUGACCUCGGAUCAGGUAGGAAUACCCGCUGAACUUAAGCAUAUCNAUA